GUGCUCGCGUUGAUAGCACAUUACUAAAAUUGGAAUGAUACAGAUUAGCAUGGCUCCUCUGCAAAGGUAACACGCAAAUUUGUGAAGCACUCCAUAUUUUU
ensembl:snRNA U6 U6 spliceosomal RNA